GCGGGACUACAGAGAUUCUAAGAAUGCGGGCUGGGGUCAGCCCUUACUGCAACCAUACUUUAAAACUACAGGGAGGCUUUGGCAACACCCCAGGGCGCCUCCAGUUUUCCAGUAAUGACCCAGCGAAAGGGUCACAGCUCUUCCUCUACAACCAAGCUAAUUAUCUUAAUGGCUGAGUUCUUUGCUCAAUUUUCCGUACAUGGAUCAUUAACAGAAGAGCCCAUAAGCAGGUCCACUUCCUUUCCUGAGAUGCCCUCCUCUCCAUGCUGCCCGGCUCUGAACUGGAGCAGCUUAAAGACAGAAGCUCGGCUGUUUUUGCAGAAGCCUGCCCACGAGGGGUAGACUGGGACUGGGAUGGAUCUCUGCAGCAGCUACGAAACUCUCCACGUCAUCAAUAAUGUCAUCCUGCAAGGGGAGAGGCAGUCUCGGUCACUCUCUACCCAAGCUGCACUGCACAUGCCUGGGCCCAGAUCUGAGCAUCCCGGGUCAGCAGAGCAGUGAGGCUACUGGUCCCCAGGAGUGUGUGACAUGGCAGCUCAAGCUGUCACGGUAACAGUCAGAGGAGCUUCCCUCCCUCAGACUCCUGACUCACUCCAGAGCCAGCACGCUGCUUACUUUGCCCCAAGAGAGGGUGACAUGAAAGGAAGAGAGAACUAAGGGAGCUGCUGACGACGUGACUCUGAUCUAGUAAGAGCGGCCAGCAUGCCAACACAAAGCUAAGCUGCGCUGGGACAAUGGGAAAGGCUCGCCUUCAGCUUAUCUCAUGGCCCUGAAAUGAGACUGAGUAAGGAAGGGCAGAUGGAGCCAGUGGAACCCACCAUCAUGCUGAGACCCACACUGACUAAGCCACCAGUGUCACCGCUGUGCAUGAAAUGAUGAUGACGCGUCCCCAUACCACUAUGAUUGCAAUGCGUCCUCCGACGUCCCCGACCACUGUUAUAGGUGGCUUCUCUUUGGCCAUCAUCACUAGCAAAAUAAAUCACAAGACCCAGUUAGUUGGGUAACUGGAUAAAUGUAAUCACAACCUGGUGGCAAGCUUCAGCACAGACUACACAACCUAACACACAGACCC